CAGCACAGGGGAUCCCUCGUAAGACGAAGAAUGGGAGUUCGGAGGAUCUGCGUCUGCUCCAUCACAGGCUAACGAGGGGGCACCGUGCCCAUUUCAUCACCUUACCCUAUUGAGAAUCAGGGCUCUGGGUCCCCUGGGCAGCUGCUUGGAGAGUGGUCAGGAUGUCCUGUGAGAAGCCAGGAAGGCCCUCUGGCCAAAACGUAGCUGUCUUUUCAACUUGCUGUGUGUGGAGAAAUUGCAGCCUUAGCCAUUCCCUCUAAGAGCGUCCCCCUCCAGCCCCCUCAGUUCCUGCCCUGCUCCACGCCGCCUGGCGCAACAUGGCCCGGAGGCGUGCCCGCUGCCGCAGCUCGUGUGCGUGUCCUAUGCUCGUCCUGCGUGGCCGAGUCGGGCUCCGUGGACCACCUGGGCCUGAUACCGCCUCCUCUCCCGGCCUCUGAGAUGCCCACCCUCUCCUGAUCUUCCUUUUCUGUCGCCUUUGCGGACGUGCAA